AUGUUUUUCCUGUUUACAGGAAGCUACACUGAGUCUAGACUGUGGAAAAUAAGACUCUCAUACGUGAAUAAUCAGAUGAUAAUCUGGAGACUGAAAGAGCCAGAGGUACUGAAGGGACGAUCCUGGCACAUCUUGGUCCAAGUGCUGCUGGUAACUGUCCUCCUAGGAGGCCAGGGAGGGCCGUUUCCCAGUGUCCUGCAGCUUCUCUUUCUCAUGAUUGAUGAAAUGCCUGAGGGUGCAGUGCAUGUGCCUGGGUCCCGCUGCCCCAAUAGUGUCAGAACUGAAAAGGAUGGAAGCACUUCCCAGUCUCUUUGGGAAGAAGGGCUGGAAUAUCCAAUAAGGCUGCCAACCUGUGGGGGAAAAUUCCAUUUCAUUAAUCUAAAUGGGAACUUUCCAAAUAGAAAAAGAAAACACUUAUCCAGAAAAAGAGGAAGACGCUAAGCCAGAAGCAGCAGGAGCCAUGCCAGGAGAACAUCACGCACGGGUCAGAUACCAAAGAGAGGCCACCUUCACCAGCACCAAGCGCGGGACCCCGUCCUUUCCUCUAUUACAACCACGGGAGCGGAAACACAUUCCAGCCCUUCAUACAUAAUGUAUCAUUCUAUCACCCAUCUUGAAGAUUAAAAUGAUUCAGUUCUGUGAAACUCGGGUAUUUUUUGAGAAUCUUUAUAAAACGAAAAUAUAGUAUACAUUUUAUUUUAAGUUAAAAAACUCGUAAAUUGAAAGGCUCUCCUUGUUGAAAGAAUUUGGGAAACAGGGAAGAAGGAAAGAGUACUAAUUUUGAAUCCAGAGAGCUCAAGAUCUAAUCCUGCCUUUACUACUUGCUGUGUAAUUGGGCAAAUUUCUUAGUUUUGGUUAUCUCAUCUCCAGUCUCAGAGAUUAGCAUUUUCUGGUAAAACAUCAUGGCAGAAUUAGUAAAAGACACAGAAUUUGCAAACUCAAGGAAAGUACAAAGUAAUAUUGAAUUUAAAAAACUAAAAAUCGAAUAAAAUGUAGUGCAGUUUUAUUUUCUUAAAGUUU
rnacentral:lncRNA from 1 species